rnacentral:rRNA from 1 species
AUGGCUGCUAACGCAUCGACAUCGGGGGCGGCUACUUCCGAUCUCGAGGCGCUGAUGGAGGAGUUGGGACUCAGGGAAGACGAUCUGCAGGAUGUGGUGGUGGAAGAGGGUGAAUUGCCACAGGAAGUGACCCGCUGGAUGGCGAUCGCCAGGGUUCACACCAACAAAACCUAUAGUCAGUACUGGUUCUACAGAGGUAUGAGGGUAGCAUGGGAUCUUGCGCAGGAAGUCAAGAUCAGACCUCUCGAGGAGAAUCUUUACACCCUCCAAUUCUCUUGCCUUGGCGAUUGGGAGAGGGUAAUGGAGGAGGGGCCUUGGAAAUUCAAGGGGAAGGCGGUGGUUCUUGCGUCGUAUGAUGGUUUCACGAAGCCAUCAACUAUUGAACUAAACAAGAUGGAUAUCUGGCUGCAGAUUCACGACCUCCCAGAUGGUUACUUCUCCAAGAUAAAGGCUCUGUCAUCUACGGUGGGGGAGUUUAUAUUUGCUGAGCCAAAGUCUCGUGAUUUUGAGGGCAAUUUUGCUAGAGUCAGGGUGCGAAUUGAUGUGACGAAACCAUUGAAAACGCUGUCUCACUGCUAG